CUCCUCCUCCUCCUCCGCCUCCUCCUCCUCCUCCUCCGCUUCUGGCUUCUCCUCCUUCUUCUCAGGCUCAUCACAACAACUUUUACACCUCCUCCUCCUCCUUUUCUUCUUCUUCUUCUUCUUUUUUUUUUUUUAUGGCGUCUCGCCCAGCCUGGAGUGCAGAGGCAGUCUUGGCUCACUGCAACCUCCACCUCCGGGGUUCAACUGAUUUUCCCGCCUCAGCCUGCUGAGUAGCUGGGAUUACAGGCACCCUCAUCAAGUCCGGCUAAUUUUUGUAUUUUUAGUAGAGACAGGGUUUCACCAUGUUGGCUAGGCUGGUCUUGACCUCCUGACCUCGGGUGAUCCUCCUGCCUCGGCCUCCCAAAAUGCUGGGAUUACAGGCGUGAGCCACCACGCACGGCUUCUGUUGUUCGUUGAAAUCAUCAUUUUUCUAAUGUCCUCAUUCUCUGCUGGCUAGUUUAAGGGCUGAUUCAAAAAAUAAAUUUUCACACUGUGAAAUACGCAAGAUGAAGAGAACAUUUAUAAAAUAUCCAUACUGUGCAUCUCUGAAUAAUCUUUUCUUCACAUCAGCGGCAGUACAAAUUAGGUGGAGUUUUAAAAGAUACUUCAGCAACUUACAGAUUACAGCAUGUUAUGUAUCUUCAAGCAGUGAGAGGAUAUUACGUUGCAGAAUUUGGUCAGAAUAUGAAGUUUGGAAGACCCUAUAUUCCUGCAGAUCCUUGGAUUGAGGUUAAUUCGAGAGCAAGCCGUGAGUGAGAAAUCUGCCAUCAAAACCAAGUCACUGGCCCUACCACAUUUGCUACAACUCUGAUAUUCCACAUUUUACAAAGUUCAUGUCUAGCUGCUUCAUGUCAGAACGCUAGAACUCUGUACGAUGCCUUGCAGAAAUCUCACUUGUGGGAGCAGACAGAAUGGACAGGCUGUAUGAAUUCCUCAUAAGUAGCGUGGAGACCUUGGGCCUCCCCAGCCUUGCUUAAUAAUUUCAUGGAGUAGAGAUGACGGAUGCCAGCUCACAGAUUUGUUUUGAGUGCUAAAUGCAGAGCAACCAGCCUUGGAGAGCUUCUUGGGAAUCUUUGGUUCCUCUUGCCCUUUCAGGAAAGGAUGAAUGUGUGUAAACAAAGAAACAAAAUUUGAGCAGGUUUGAGGCUGCAGGGUGAAGGCAUUUCUUUCAGUUGGCUCUGGGAGCACCUGCAGACCUCGAAUCCUUCACUCUUCCUCCUUUCUUCCAAGAACUCACUACGCUUUCCAUCCUCCUUUCCUCCAUGAGACAAAGCACCCUCCAGAAUGAUGCUAAGUGCAGUACCUCCAUGCUCAAAAGCUGCUGAUAUCAACAUUGGCCUGUUAAUAAAAUAUGGAACCUUCAGACUGACUCUCCAGGUUCUAUGUGCACGCCAGCUUGGGCACAGUCCUCACCGCUGCCCGGCGGGUCCUCCCUGUCCUUACCAAACUGUGCUGCUUGCCAUCCUCUGAAUAUGGCCCCACAUGUGCUUCUGCUCUGCCCAGCCAUCCACUGGAGGGGUAUCUCAUCGUCCCACCUCCGCCCAAGGAAAACCUGCCUGCUCUCAGAACCUGCCUCAGUCCGUCAGGUUGAUGAAGUCUAAUUUGGUUCAGCUUUCAGAGAUUCCUGGUAGUUUUAAACUGAAAAGUUCAUAAGUGUUGUGGGGGCCAUUGCCAUUUCACCUCGGAGAUGAGAUAACUGAUGUUCAGAUCUAAAAGAUUCUAAGAGAGUCGCACUCUGCUAAGUCCCAUAGCAUUUUAGGGAAAACUACUAAAUAUAUUGAAGAUACUUGUGUACAUUUAUUAGUUCCUGUUAUGGGCCGAAUUUUGUCUCUCUUCUCCGGGUAAAUUCAUGUUUGAAGCCCUAAUUUCAAUGUGACUGUAUUUGGAUAUACAGCCUUUAAAGGGUGUAAUUAAGGCUAAAUAGGUUCAUAAGGGUGGGGCCUAAUCCAAUAGGACUGAUAUCCUCAUAAGAAGAGGAAGAGACCUCAGGGACGCUUGAGCACAGAGGAAAGGCCACGUGAGGGCAGACAAGGCAGCAUCUGCCAGGCAAUGAGAGAGGCCUCAGGAGAAACUGCAGGCACCUUGAUCCUGGACUUCCAGACUCCAGAACUGUGAGAGAAUAAAUGUCUGUUGUUUAAGGACCCCAGUCUGUGAUACUCAUUAUGGCAGACCUAGUUGACAAAUACGGCUCACCUAUGAAAUGUAAAGCUCCAUCAUGCAGUCUUUGAAUCUCCCAGGGUUCUGAGAUAUGAUUUAAUAAAUAUUUGUAGAAUGACAAAAUUUUAUCUGUGAUGACUAUGUCACACACACACACACACACACACACACACACACACACACACCCCUUUAGGCCACCCACUGUGUCACAUUCCUCUCCCUUCUUUCCUUGAAAGCACUGCUUCCAAGGAAAGAAUAAUCACUUUACUUGGAAAUAAAUUAUCCUCUAAAUUAGAAAUAUGUGCCUUUCAAAAUUUGAAUAUCAAUCUCUGUAGGUGAAUUUUAUCUCCCUUUAUGCUUUACAAGUAGGUUUACUUGCCCCACGGAGUGCCACAUUGGUCCAGAUAAUAAAUUAAUACCAUUUGAUUGUAAAUACAAUAUAAACCUUUUUGAAACAGGUCUCAUUCUCAAGUUAUUUGUUGUUUAGAAAAGUCUUAUUUCAAUGACCAGAAACGUAAAACUGGUACUGUUUCAAACAGGCCUGCAACACACAAUUUAUCAUUGAAUAAAAUGUAUUUAUAUUAUGGCCAAAUGGAUUAUCAUUGAAGCAGAAGUGAUUGAGUGAAGUAGUUUAGAAAAAUGUCUGGCUAUUUAAAAUAAAUUUGAGAACUUUAUGACAUUGUUUUAUUCAUCAGAAAGAAUUACAUGUAGAUUUAAACAAAAAAAUCAAGAUUUUCAAAAGGAAAUAAAUGCCUUCUGCCAGAUCUACCACACUUUAAGCCCUCUAAAACCAGCAUAUUCCUUAUUAGCUUCAUUGCUCAGACCAUGUUUAUUUUCUAAGUGAAUGGUAUUACAGGGCUUGUGAUCACAGUAUUAAGACCUGAAGUAUUAUGACCAUUACUAUGUGGAACAUAUUUCUUUGGAGUCCAAAGAUUUUCCACAUGCAUUAAUUUCCCCCCUUUCUCAAAUGUGUGCUCUGUGG
rnacentral:lncRNA from 1 species